UACGUAGGGCGCAAGCGUUGUCCGGAAUUAUUGGGCGUAAAGAGCUUGUAGGUGGCUUGUCGCGUCUGCCGUGAAAACCCGAGGCUCAACCUCGGGCGUGCGGUGGGUACGGGCAGGCUAGAGUGUGGUAGGGGAGACUGGAACUCCUGGUGUAGCGGUGAAAUGCGCAGAUAUCAGGAAGAACACCGAUGGCGAAGGCAGGUCUCUGGGCCAUUACUGACACUGAGAAGCGAAAGCAUGGGUAGCAAACAGGAUUAGAUA
rnacentral:rRNA from 1 species